rnacentral:tRNA from 1 species
UCCGCAUUAGUGUAGGGGUUAACAUACUCCGCUUUCAAUGUGUGGAGCCGGAGAGCCCCGGGUUCGAUUCCCGGAUGCGGAA